rnacentral:rRNA from 1 species
GACGUAGGGCGCGAGCGUUGUCCGGAUUUAUUGGGCGUAAAGAGCUCGUAGGCGGCUUGUCGCGUCGUUCGUGAAAACCUGGGGCUCAACUCCAGGCUUGCGGGCGAUACGGGCAGGCUAGAGUUCGGUAGGGGAGACUGGAAUUCCUGGUGUAGCGGUGAAAUGCGCAGAUAUCAGGAGGAACACCGGUGGCGAAGGCGGCGUCCUGGACCAACACUGACACUGAUGAGCGAAAGCCAGGGGAGCAAACGGG